CAGUCGCCGCGGGAAUACGUAGGGUGCGAGCGUUAAUCGGAAUUACUGGGCGUAAAGCGUGCGCAGGCGGUUAUAUAAGACAGAUGUGAAAUCCCCGGGCUCAACCUGGGACCUGCAUUUGUGACUGUAUAGCUAGAGUACGGUAGAGGGGGAUGGAAUUCCACGUGUAGCAGUGGAAUGCGUAGAUAUGCGGAGGAACACCGAUGGCGAAGGCAAUCCCCUGGACCUGUACUGACGCUCAUGCACGAAAGCGUGGGGAGCAAACAGGAUUAGAUACCCGAGUAGUCCCUGUCUCUUAUAC
rnacentral:rRNA from 1 species